CCAUAAGUGAUAUUGCAACAUCUGCAACAGCUGUCAUGUGAUGUAAAAAUAUCUGUGAUUCUGUUGGUAGCAAAGUCACAGGUCCUGCCAAUACCACUGGGGUUUGUUACCGACAUUUACAAUCAAAGGAAGUGCCAAAUUUCAGUUAGAGGUUUAUGAAAAUCAAGAUGUAUAUUUUAUCUCCAU